rnacentral:tRNA from 1 species
GCCUUCGUCGUGUAACGGUAGCACACUGGACUCGUAUUCGAGAAGUCCAGGUUCAAGUCCCGGCGAGGGCA